rnacentral:misc_RNA from 1 species
UGUUCGAGCGUCAUUACAACCCUCAAGCUCUGCUUGGUAUUGGGCCUCGCCAGCAAUGGCGUGCCUUAAAAUCAGUGGCGGUGCGUCUGGCUCUAAGCGUAGUAAUUUCUCUCGCUCUGGAUGUCAUAUGGAUACUUGCCAUCAACCCCCAAUUUUUAAAGGUUGACCUCGGAUCAGGUAGGGAUACCCGCUGAACUUAA